rnacentral:lncRNA from 1 species
AACAAUCUCGGAUAAAUCUCGAUGCCGUACAACAAUUUUCAGAUCGGAGAUUUCGCCGGUUCCGGCGCUGUAGCUCACGGACGAUCCGGCGUCAUCGAAUUUAUUCGACUUGCUUGCAGGGGGGAACUUCGAUUUAACAGUAGUAGGUUCAUUGUGCACCGAGGAUCCGAAAUUCGAUCGGUUCCCGAUCUCGGAUCUGGACUCUACAUCUCCCUCGUCUGAUGAGCUUGUUGUGCUGUAGUGGUCGCCCCAUUCGCUGCAUUGAACCUCUUCUCUCUCAGUUUCCUCUCCGUCGUCAUCAAGGUGAUGGUGCUGGUGCUGGUGCAGGCGCUCGGAGUGCUUGUCGCCGUUGGUAGGUCGCCGAAAGAAUUCAGAAUCUGGAGGCUCGGAGUGCUUGACGUCGUUGGUAUGUCGCCGGAAGAACUCAGAUUCUGGAGGCUCGGAGUGCUUGUCGCCGUUGGUAGGUCGCCGAAAGAACUCAGAAUCUGGAGGCUCGGAGUGCUUGACGUUGUUGGUAUGUCGCCGGAAGAACUCAGAUUCUGGAGGCUCGGAGUGCUUGUCGUCGUCGGUAUGUGGCCGAAAGAACUCAGAGUCUGGAGGCUCGGAGUGCUUGUCGUUGUCAGUAUGUCGCCGAAAGAACUCAGAGUCUGGGGGGGACGGAGGGUAGAAAUUCUCCCAGUUCCAGACUGAUGAUGUCUGAGAAGGAGUACUCGAAUAGGUCGAGUGCGCCUGAUAAGCCGUCGGAAUAUGAUAUUUUCCGUCGGACCGCUGACUCACAGGAGACGAAGCGAGGCUCGAUUCGGAAAGAAUGUGAGGGAGCUUUGGAGGCCUCCUCGGGCGAGACGAGUUCAAACUCGACGCAGAGAGUAUAUGCGGCAGCUUGGAGCUAGCGAUAGUCGGAGAAGGCGAGGGGGAGAACGCCGGUGGCGGGGGCGGCGGUCGGAGAGACUGCGCCUGUGAGGGCACUCGCGGCGGAGGCUGAUAAGAAUAGUUGGAAACCGACGAGGGGUUCCGAAGCAAAACAGCAGGGGUUUGGUCUGAAACGGAGAGGGGUUCUCCGGCGGCGAACUCGGAGAGAGCAGAACCAGUGAUGCGAAGCGAACGGCAGUAGUCAGCGUGAGCGGCGGCAAGAUGAUGGCGGGCAUAGACGGCCUCCUUCAUGAGGCGGCGCCGCUCCUUGCACCGCCGCACAGCGUCCUCGUUGUCGAGCUUCGACGCCGUACACCCCAUCACAGCACACUCUGUUUGGAAACGUACAAGCAGUGCCAGCAAAGAGAAAAUAUCCAAAGAGACAGCUCCGGCGGUGGUGGUGGCGCCUUUUUUUGAGUUCUAGAGAGAGAGAGCUCUUAUACUCGCUCUCAGGGCUGUUGAUGUCCCAUCCCCCACAACACUUUUCCUUUUUCCGUCAGACCCCUGUAUAUAUAGUGUUUUUGGCAACAAAAUCGAUCAACUAAUAAUCAUCUUUUGCAUUUCUAAUUUCAAAUUCAUGAUUCAUUACACGUUUCAGCAAAAACAACCAUUUGUUUUUUGUUUCUGUUUUUGUUGUUUUGUUUUUCGUUUUCUG